CGAGAGCGUGAAAGAUGCGACAAUGUGUGGUCUGGGAUUGUCUAUAUUGGUAAAAGUGAAUGCAUACCAAUAUCCACAAUCCUUGAGCAGACAAAUGUCAUGCCGCUUUAUUACCGCG
rnacentral:precursor_RNA from 9 species